UCAGAACGAACGCUGGCGGCAGGCCUAACACAUUCAAAUACACCGAGAUCUUCGGAUCUACUUUUUUACGGCUCUGCCCCGCGUGGGAAUAUACCCUUUGGCCCGGAAUAGCCUCGGGAAACUGGGAGUAAUACCGUAUGAGCCCUUCGGGGGAAAGACUUAUCGCCUAAGGAUUAGCCCGCGUUGGAUUACAUAGUUGGCGGGGUAAUGGCCUACCAAGUCUACGAUCCAUAGCUGGUUUGAAAGGAUGAUCACCAACACUGGGGCUGAGACUCGGCCCAGACUCCUACGGGAGGCAGCACUGGGGAAUCUUAGACAAUGGGCGCAAGCCUGAUCUACCCAUGCCGCGUGGACGAUGAAGGCCUUAGGGUUGUAAAGUCCUUUCAGCUGGGAAGAUAAUGACGGUACCAGCAGAAGAAGCCCCGGCUAACUCCGUGCCAGCAGCCGCGGUAAUACGGAGGGGGCUAGCGUUGUUCGGAAUUACUGGGCGUAAAGCGCACGUAGGCGGAUUAUUAAGUGAGGGGUGAAAUCCCAGGGCUCAACCCUGGAACUGCCUCUCAUACUGGUACUCUUGAGUUCGAGAGAGGUGAGUGGCAUUCCGAGUGUUGAGGUGAAAUUCGUAGAUAUUCAGAGGAACACCAGUGGCGAAGGCGGCUCACUGGCUCGAUACUGACGCUGAGGUGCGUAAGCGUGGGGAGCAAAACAGGAUUAGAUACCCUGGUAGUCCACGCCGUAAACGAUGAAUGCCACUCGUCGGGCAGUAUACUGUUCGGUGACACACCUAACGGAUUAAGCAUUCGCCUGGGGAGUACGGUCGCAGAUACAAACUCAUAGGAAUUGACGGGGGCUCGCACAGCGUCGGAGCAUGUGGCUUAAUUCCGAAGCUACGCGCUGCACCUUACCAACCCAUGAACAUGGGCUAUCGCGGUUUCCAGAAGAUGGAUUCCCUCCAUUUUCGGCUGGAUACCCACACAGGCGCU
rnacentral:rRNA from 1 species